rnacentral:tRNA from 1 species
GGAGAGGUGCCAGAGUGGUUGAAUGGGACGGUCUCGAAAACCGUUUGGCGCGCAAGUGCCACGAGGGUUCGAAUCCCUCCCUCUCCGC